rnacentral:tRNA from 1 species
UCAGAAGAUAGUUUAAUGUAGAAUACCAGCUUUGGGAGUUGGAGGUGAGGGUUUAAUUCCCUCUUUUCUGAG